rnacentral:tRNA from 1 species
GCUGUCGGAUGGCCGAGUGGUUAAGGCGUUGGACUUGAAAUCCAAUGGGUUAUUCCCGCGCAGGUUCGAAUCCUGUUCACAGCG